rnacentral:rRNA from 1 species
AACGAACGCUGGCAGCGUGCUUAAUACAUGCAAGUCGAACGAUGAACCGGCGCUUGCUCUGGGGAUUAGUGGCGAACGGGUGAGUAACACGUGGGCAACCUGCCCCAGACACCGGGAUAACCAUUCGAAAGGAUGGCUAAUACCGGAUACGACCACUUCGGGCAUCCGAUGGUGGUGGAAAGGAUUCUGGUCUGGGAUGGGCCCGCGGCCUAUCAGCUUGUUGGUGGGGUAAUGGCCUACCAAGGCGACGCCGGGUAGCCGGCAUGAGAGGGGGACCGGGCACACUGGGACUGAGACACGGCGCAGAAUCGCACGGGAGGCAGCAGUGGGGAAUAUGGCGCAAUGGGCGAAAGCCAGACGAAGCGGCGCCGCGAGAGGAAAGAAGGUCUUCGAAUUGUAAACCUCUUUCAGCAGGGAUGAAGAGAAAGUGACAGUACCUACAGAAGAAGCACCGGCUAACUACGUGCCAGCCGCCGCGGUAA